UUUUGCGAUAGUUUUCUCUUAGUAUCAAAGCAAAAUUUUGAAUUCUUUACAUUUUGAUCAAAACUGAUGAGCACUAAUAAUAACUUAUGAUGGUAGUCUACAGUAUGUUGUAACAAUUUUUGUUUUUUGAUAACCCAGGUAUCCCAAGCUUGCGCUUGGACUAGCCACGUGGGCGGCCAUAGGGCACUCCACGUGUUGGCUUCUGGAACGCUGCAGCCCGUAUGUGAAAUCCGCAGUGGCCGGGGCUCAAACUCG
rnacentral:lncRNA from 1 species